rnacentral:tRNA from 1 species
AAGAAAUUAGUUUAACAAAAACAUUAACUUGUCAAGUUAAAGAUAUUUAAUAAUAUUUCUUA